AUGAACCUCUGUGUCCCCAAAAGCUUUAUGUUUCUGUUGUGUUUUCUUUUGUGUUUUGUCAACCUGCUUUCCCAGAAGUUUGUAUGGAGUUGUUAUGGUUCAUUCAGAUGUGAGGUGUCCCCCAAAAGCUCACGUGUGAGACAACGUAAGAAGGUUCAGAGGAGAAAUGAUUGUGCUAUAUCCUUAACCUAAUCAGCAAAUUAAUCCCUGGUGGGAUUAACUGAGUGGCAAUUAGAGGCAAGUGGGGUGUGGCUGGAGGAAGUGGUUCACCGGGGUCAUGGCUAUGGGGUAUAUAUUUUGUAUCUGGAGAGUGAAGUCUUUCUCUGCUUCCCAACCAUCAUGUCAGCUGCUUUGCUUGGGCAUAUUCUUCCUCCAUGAUGUUCAGCCUCACCUUGAGCCAGGAGGGUGGAGUCUGCUGUCUAUGGAUUGAAACCUCUAAAACCACAAGCCCUCAAAUAAACUUUUCCUCCCCUACAAUUGUGUUUGUCGAGUCUUUCAGUCACAGCGGUGAAAUAGCUGAAUAAAACACGAGU
rnacentral:lncRNA from 1 species